rnacentral:rRNA from 1 species
AUUGAACGCUGGCGGCAGGCCUAACACAUGCAAGUCGAGCGAGUGGCGGACGGGUGAGUAAUGUCUGGGAAACUGCCUGAUGGAGGGGGAUAACUACUGGAAACGGUAGCUAAUACCGCAUACCAUCAGAUGUGCCCAGAUGGGAUUAGCUAGUAGGGGGGGUAAUGGCUCACCUAGGCGACGAUCCCUAGCUGGUCUGAGAGGAUGACCAGCCACACUGGAACUGAGCACCGGCCCAGACUCCUACGGGAGUCAGCAGUGGGGAAUAUUGCACAAUGGGCGCAAGCCUGAUGCAGCCAUGCCGCGUGUAUGAAGAAGGCCUUCGGGUUGUAAAGUACUUUCAGCGAGGAGGCGUUACUCGCAGAAGAAGCACCGGCUAACUCCGUGCCAGCAGCCGCGGUAAUUC